rnacentral:rRNA from 1 species
AUACGGAGGAUCCGAGCGUUAUCCGGAUUUAUUGGGUUUAAAGGGUGCGCAGGCGGCCAUUUAAGUCAGCGGUUAAAUCGUGGGGCUCAACCCCAUUCUGCCGUUGAUACUGGGUGGCUUGAUUGCGGUCGAGGUUGGCGGAAUUCGUUGUGUAGCGGUGAAAUGCAUAGAUAUGACGAAGAACACCGAUUGCGUAGGCAGCUGACCAGAUCGCAAAUGACGCUCAUGCACGAAUGUGCGGGGAUCGAACAGGAUUAGAUACCCUGGUAGUCCGCACAGUAAACGAUGAAUACUUGAUUUCGGCGAUAUAAUGUCGGAGGUAAAGCGAAAGCGAUAAGUAUUCCACCUGGGGAGUACGCCGGCAACGGGGAAACUCAAAGGAAUUGACGGGG